GUCUCCUUCGUCGGUUGACUAGAGUCGAUUUGCUUCGAGCCUCUAAUAACUCCUCGGACUAUGGAGCGUUCUCCAAUUGUACGUGACUGACCCACAUCGCCUCGGUCUCAUCUUUAAAGUUUAUCGCCCCGGCUCAGGCAAUCUCAAAGUGGUCAGAAUUUGAUGAAAAAAAACCUCUCAAAACAUGAGGAAGGUUUUGUGUUUCCUUGCGGCGUGCGCUCUCUUCAUUUACGUCGAUCCUUUCUUCCCACCUUCCACACAGGCUCGGGGACAGCUUCAAGCAGGUGCUCUAGGAUGCUGUGGGAAGAAUCAAACAAUCGAACCGUGCCCCAAUCCACCGUCGCCGAUCUGCACCCCCAGUGGCUGCUAUAUACCUUGGCCAGGGUGUCUUCCUCCAAGGCCAUGAGAUUGAGAAGGCCAUCUACAUGAAAGAUGUGCUCGAUUAUGUGUUACAUGCAAUUAUUGAUAACUCGGAGCCAUAUCGGUGUGAGCUAGAGAACUUGAUCGGUGGAUAUACUUAGUGUACGGUUAUGAAUUGGAACACACAGCAUGAUAUAUUUUGGCCACAGGUCAUGUUUCUGAUUU